UACGUAGGGCGCAAGCGUUGUCCGGAAUUAUUGGGCGUAAAGAGCUCGUAGGUGGUUUGUCGCGUCUGCCGUGAAAGCCCGGGGCUUAACUCCGGGUCUGCGGUGGAUACGGGCAGACUAGAGGCAGGUAGGGGAGAACGGAAUUCCCGGUGUAGCGGUGGAAUGCGCAGAUAUCAGGAGGAACACCAAUGGCGAAGGCAGAUCUCUGGGCCGUAACUGACGCUGAGGAGCGAAAGCAUGGGGAGCGAACAGG
rnacentral:rRNA from 1 species